rnacentral:rRNA from 1 species
GUCCUAGCCGUAAACGGUGAGCACUAGGUGUUGGAGGCAUCGACCCCUCCAGUGCCGCAGCUAACGCAUUAAGUGCUCCGCCUGGGGAGUACGGCCGCAAGGUUGAAACUCAAAGGAAUUGACGGGGGCCCCGCACAAGCGGUGGAGCAUGUGGUUUAAUUCGACGCAACGCGAAGAACCUUACCCAGGCUUGACAUGCAUUGGACGGGUGUGGAAACACACCUUCCCUUGGGGCCGAUGCACAGGUGCUGCAUGGCUGUCGU